rnacentral:siRNA from 1 species
UUUAAUUUUGGAUGCCUGAUA